GCGCCUGGGACUCCAGACGGCGGCAGGUUCAAUUAGCUAAACAAAGAAAUCAUGGCGGAUUGUUUACAUUUGGCAGCACCGGGCUGCGCCGACAGCCCGCCCCAGCCGCCGCGGCCCCGAGGAGUCGGCCGAACCGCCCCCGCGCCCUGGCCGAAUUGUGAAACUGUUGCUUUGCUGAAAACAUCUGGCUGCCAGUCUAGAAUGUGACUCUUAAGAUUCUCAAUCAACUGUGGUGAUGCUAUUACUUUGGGGCUUACCAAUCUGGGCUUCUUCCAGAGCUGAAAACUGAUUACAAAUAUGAAACAGAUUUCACUACUGGACUUGAACUCCACAUUAGAAAACAACAAGAUCCUCAAAAUAAUUGAAAGGAUUCUCAACAAAGAGUAAAUGCAACAUGAGUGGCAGGAUGCCAAGAAGAAAACACAAUGAAAAAAGGAGCCCAAGGAUUUGAGAGGUUUGAAGCCUAAUGAUGGAGGAAUAUCACUCUGAGGAGAAAUGAAGACUCUUUCUCCUCCUGAUUCACCUGAAUGUGCAGCGCCCAGUGAAAGUGAUAAGAGAGGAUGGUGUUUGUGACGAAUCCACAUGCACUGACGUUGUCACCUUUCUAAAAUACAUGCCAUUGUAGGUGCUUUUCCAACUCUCUUCCCUGUAUGCACAGUGUGGUAUACUUUGGCAGGCCUUCCACUUCAUUUUUAACCCUCAAAUGCGGUGAAACAAAGCUGAGCAUAUGGUACAAAUGGAAUGAAUAGAAGUGAAUAAAUGCAAAGAGAAACAUUUAUUUAACCUCAGGAGGAUAGACAAAUAGGUCUUUCUUAAAUUGGUAUAUAAGUAUAGAAUAUUGGGUCAUUCUUUAUGUGAAUAUUUACUCAUUUUAGUGAAAUUUUCCAAUCUGGGGGACAUUCCUUUCCUUGCCAAUAAGACACAGAAUAAGGAAAAUUUAAAAUAUUUGCAGCUCUUCCUCUGCAAUUUUAUCCUAAUUUUGUCUCUCUCUCUCCUCUUGAU